rnacentral:rRNA from 1 species
UGGGGAAUAUUGGACAAUGGGGGCAACCCUGAUCCAGCCAUGCCGCGUGAGUGAAGACGGCCUUAGGGUUGUAAAGCUCUUUCAGCGGGGACGAUGAUGACGGUACCCGCAGAAGAAGCCCCGGCUAACUCCGUGCCAGCAGCCGCGGUAAUACGGAGGGGGCUAGCGUUGUUCGGAAUUACUGGGCGUAAAGAGCACGUAGGCGGUAGAUCAAGUUAGGCGUGAAAGCCCUAGGCUUAACCUAGGAACUGCGCUUAUUACUGGUCAACUAGAGGCCGGGAGAGGGUGGUGGAAUUCCCAGUGUAGAGGUGAAAUUCGUAGAUAUUGGGAGGAACACCAGUGGCGAAGGCGGCCACCUGGACCGGUCCUGACGCUGAGGCGCGAAAGCGUGGGGAGCAAACAGGAUUAGAUACCCUGGUAGUCCACGCUGUAAACGAUGGGUACUCGGUGCUGCGGGUGUCGACCCCUGCAGUGCCUUAGCUAACGCGUUAAGUACCCCGCCUGGGGAGUACGGUCGCAAGGCUG